rnacentral:rRNA from 1 species
AUUAGGAGGAACACCAGUGGCGAAGGCGGAUUACUGGACGGUAACUGACGGUGAGGCGCGAAAGUGUGGGGAGCAAACAGGAUUAGAUACCCUGGUAGUCCACACUGUAAACGAUGAAUACUAGGUGUGCGGGGACUGACCCCCUGCGUGCCGCAGUUAACACAAUAAGUAUUCCACCUGGGGAGUACGAUCGCAAGGUUGAAACUCAAAGGAAUUGACGGGGGCCCGCACAAGCGGUGGAUGAUGUGGUUUAAUUCGAAGCAACGCGAAGAACCUUACCAGCACUUGACAUCCAAUUAACGAAAUAGAGAUAUAUUAGGUGCCCUUCGGGGAAAGUAGAGACAGGUGGUGCAUGGUUGUCGUCAGCUCGUGUCGUGAGAUGUUGGGUUAAGUCCCGCAACGAGCGCAACCCCUAUUGUUAGUUGCUACGCAAGAGCACUCUAGCGAGACUGCCGUUGACAAAACGGAGGAAGGUGGGGACGACGUCAAAUCAUCAUGCCCCUUAUGACCUGGGCUACACACGUAAUACAAUGGCGGUCAACAAAGGGAUGCAAAGCCGCGAGGCAGAGCGAACCCCAAAAAGCCGUCCCAGUUCGGAUCGCAGGCUGCAACCCGCCUGCGUGAAGUCGGAAUCGCUAGUAAUCGUGGGUCAGCAUACCACGGUGAAUACGUUCCCGGGCCUUGUACACACCGCCCGUCACACCAUGAGAGUCGGGAACACCCGAAGUCCGUAGCCUAACCUGAAAAGGAGGGCGCGGCCGAAGGUGGGUUCGAUAAUUGGGGUGAAGUCGUAACAAGGUAGCCGUUCGAGAACGAGCGGCUG